GAUGACGUUGGAGCCAAGUUUCGUGCUUCGCAAGCAAGGGGCCGGGGGUUCGAGUCCCCCACGUCCACCA
rnacentral:tRNA from 1 species